rnacentral:rRNA from 1 species
AAGGCCACCACAAGAACGCGUGGAGCAUGUGGCUUAAUUUGACUCAACGCGGGAAAUCUUACCGGGUCCGGACACACUGAGGAUUGACAGGCAAUAUCGUGUGUUCAGUUUAUUCUGACACACGUGUUAAAUAUGCUAGUCCUUUCAUGAUUAUGUGAUAGGUGGUGCAUGGCCGUUCUUAGUUCGUGGAGUGAUCUGUCUGCUUAAUUGCGUUUCACUAAGGAACUAUAUUCUUAUGUAUGUUGUCAGCGCAUUGACCCCUCAGAUGCUACUUUAACCUUUCGCGGUUGGUGCAACUGUAGCGUGCGUCUUUGAUUACGUCUGGCUCAUACGAUUAGUUCCUGAAAGCAACGAACGUGACCGCAACCUCUUGUUGCCUUCAUUUCCAAUAUGCGUAACACGAAUUCUAUUCGCUGUUUAUGCAUAUACGAAGGCUUUCUAAACUAGAGGGACCGCUGUUAUCUUCUUAAACCAGAGGAAGGUUGCGGCAAUAACAGGUCUGUGAUGCCCUUAGAUGUUCCGGGCUGCACACGUGCUACAAUGAUUAUUGCAGUGAGCAUCUCAUUUACUUAAUACAUCGCAAGCGCGAGUCCGUUUGUUCUCACGUUGAGCAGUGUUUCGGUUCAUGCCGUUCAUUGUUCUCGUAAGCUUCAAUCGAGUAUCUCUGCGCGCGAUAAAGCCUGCUUUGAAAGUUUAGUGGGUAAUCAAUUAGAAGUAAUGAUUUCCUAUAUUUAUCGCACUUAUAUGUGUGGCGUCUUUACCCAGCUAGCCUUUUGUGCUAGAAUUUGUGUGUAUUGACGAUUGCUUUCUUAAGCAAUUGCCUUUCUUACGGUACCACACGUGCAAUUGUCAAUUCAUGGUGGGGACAGACCAUUGUUAAUUGUUGGUCUCGGUCUUAACUAGGAAUGCCUUGUACGGGUCUUUGGUUCAACAGACCACCCGGAAUACGUCCCUGCCCUUUGUACACACCGCCCGUCGCUCUUACCGAUGGACUUCUCUGUGAGUUUGAGGGACUGGGUCAAUCUGAACUUGUUUCAUGAUCAGACCUACGGAAACUUAAACGAACAGUGUGGUCUAAAGGAAAGAGAAGUCGAACAAGGCA